GAUUUCUGGUACGGUGCGCCUGACCCACUGUCGAAAGGCGUGUGUUGUGUCGGAGUGCGUCUGCCAUCCUUUAGGCAAGUCAGUCUCACUUCACUGGGAGGCUGGUGAACCUAAUCGUUUACUUUGAAAAAAUUAGAGUGUUUAAAGCAGGCUUGCGCCUUGAAUACAUUAGCAUGGAAUAAUAAUUUAGGACUUUGUUCCUAUUUUGUUGGUUUUAAGGAAUGAAGUAAUGAUUGAUAGGGAUAGUUGGGGGUGCUAGUAUUCAUCGGCCAGAGGUGAAAUUCUUGGAUUCGAUGAAGACUAACUUAUGCGAAAGCAUU
rnacentral:rRNA from 1 species